rnacentral:lncRNA from 1 species
AAUGUUAAAUGUAAAAUAUCAUACGUAAUUGAUAUUUUUCUGCUCUGUUGUAGAUUAUAUCAUCUUACUUACACUGUGAGACAAGAAUAAUUAUUGAAAAUUAAGAGCUCUACAGGGCAGGAUUGUGGGCUCCUGCCACUAGUGAUGUCUCAUGCUUACUGUCAUACUGUGCCUAAUUAUUAAAAUAAGAACUGGGAUAACUAAUACCUGACCACUGACGGAGAUUUUGAGAGACAGCGUUAAUAUUUUUCCUUCAUCCCUCUGUGAGUACCUAUACAAACUUCAUGUUCUUGUGUGAAUUCUGU